CCUACGGGGGGCAGCAGUGGGGAAUAUUGCACAAUGGGGGAAACCCUGAUGCAGCGACGCCGCGUGAGUGAAGAAGUAAUUCGUUAUGUAAAGCUCUAUCAGCAGGGAAGAAAAUGACGGUACCUGAGUAAGAAGCCCCGGCUAACUACGUGCCAGCAGCCGCGGUAAGACGUAGGGGGCAAGCGUUAUCCGGAUGUACUGGGUGUAAAGGGAGCGUAGACGGCAGUGCAAGUCUGGAGUGAAAGGCGGGGGCUCAACCCCCGGACUGCUCUGGAAACUGUACGGCUGGAGUGCAGGAGAGGUAAGUGGAAUUCCUAGUGUAGCGGUGAAAUGCGUAGAUAUUAGGAGGAACACCAGUGGCGAAGGCGGCUUACUGGACUGUAACUGACGUUGAGGCUCGAAAGCGUGGGGAGCAAACAGGAUUAGAUACCCCAGUAGUC
rnacentral:rRNA from 1 species